GAUAAACGCUGGCGGCGUGCAUGAGACAUGCAAGUCGAACGGACGAUCGAGGCUUGCUUCGAUCGUUAGUGGCGGACGGCUGAGUAACGCGUAGGUGACCUGCCCCGAAGUGGGGAAUAACUGCCCGAAAGGGUGGCUAAUACCGCAUGUGGUGGUGUGUUCAAUCGCACCAGUAAAGCCGCAAGGCGCUUCGGGGAGGGGCCUGCGUCCGAUUAGCUCGUUGGUGGGGGUAACGGCNCACCAAGGCGACGAUCGGUAGGUGGUCUGAGAGGACGAUCACCCAGACUGGGACUGAGACACGGCCCAGACUCCUACGGGAGGCAGCAGUCGGGAAUUUUGCGCAAUGGACGAAAGUCUGACGCAGCAACGCCGCGUGAGGGAUGAAGGCCUC
rnacentral:rRNA from 1 species